rnacentral:rRNA from 1 species
AGAGUUUGAUCAUGGCUCAGGAUGAACGCUGGCGGCGUGGAUAAGGCAUGCAAGUCGAACGCCUCGCAAGAGGAGUGGCAGACGUGGUAGUAAUAAGUAGGUACUUACCCUUUAGUCAGGGAUAACUAGUCGAAAGACUGGCUAAUACUUGAUAAUCUCUUCGGAGUAAAGAUUUAUCGCUAAAGGAAAGGCCUGCUCGGUAUCAGCUAGUUGGUGAGGUAAAAGCUCACCAAGGCUAUGACGCCUAGGGGACCUGAGAGGGUGACCCCCACCGAUGGAACUGAGACACGGUCCAUACACCUACGGGUGGCUGCAGUCGAGAAUCUUCCGCAAUGGACGCAAGUCUGACGGAGCGACGCCGCGUGGUUGAUGAAGCUCUUCGGAGCGUAAAAACCUUUUGCCAGGGAGAAAGUUUAUUGAUAGUACUUGGCGAAUAAGAGGUUGCUAAACUCGUGCCAGCAGCAGCGGUAAUACGAGUGCCUCAAGCGUUAUCCGGAAUCAUUGGGCGUAAAGGUUGUGUAGGUGGUUAUGUUAGUCUCUUGUUAAAUUCUUCGGCUUAACCGGGGGCAUGCAAGAGAUACGGCAUAACUAGAGGAUGCGAGGGGUUUGCGGAACUCAUAGUGUAGCGGUGAAAUGCGUUGAUAUUAUGGGGAACACCAAAAGCGAAGGCAGCAAACUAGAGCACUCCUGACACUGAAACAAGAAAGCGUGGGUAGCGAAUGGGAUUAGAUACCCCAGUAGUCCACGCCCUAAACGAUCUUCUCUAGCUUUUUGGAGUAUCGACCCUCUAAGAGGCGAAGCUAACGCGUUAAGAGAAGCGCCUGGGUAGUACGACCGCAAGGUUAAAACUCAAAGGAAUUGACGG